AGUUUUUAAAAGCGUAUGCAUGUUUAAAAAUGUUAAAUAGUUAAACAACACUUGCGGUGAAAAUAUGAAGUGUUUAUUCUGAGUUGAAAAGACCGUACUUAUAUCUAGUAUUCUUAAUGUAAUUUAAAUAAUGUCUUCCUUUACUAACUGCAUAUGACUUUGCUCUACUUAUAUUGUUUAAUACGUACUGAUGAAUUCAGCAGCGAAUUGGCUAAUGCUGCUAAUGAUUUUACUUUUUUUUUCACAAUGAACAGUCUUCUUUGUGUAGUUUUCAUUAUAUUGCACUCUUAUUUUUCAUUAUGUACAUGCCUGCAAUUCGCAGCUCGCUGUUUUUGUUGUUGUAUGGUAUUGUUGUUUUGCCUUCAUUUGUUUUGUCUGGUCCUUUGUAGUUUGAAUGUUGUCACAUGAUCCAAAUAGGACAAGCUCCUUGAUCACCACCCCAUUGGGAAGAAACUAAAUCACGACCCCCAAAUGGUAGUCUUCCCAUGCAGAUACAGGGAUGUCACACAGAUCCAAAUGGAAACAUCGAACACUGUAAAACCCACUGUGCAGACAGGACCAAUGGUGACAAUAUAAGACCAUGCCGAGCUUCAUGGACGGUUCAAACUCAUCCUGCCCAGGAACGGCUGAAAACGUUUACAGUCAAUCAACAGGGGAACAUGGAAAGAGAGGAUUGGAAGUGAAAUAGAGCCAUAGGGGAAGGACUGUGGCAUCUUCAUGUUGAUGGUAGACUGAUAUGCCAACUCUGAGGAAGUGGUGGUGUAUAUUGCUAGCGGACAAUUUCAAACUUGGGUGCAUGCCACAGGAAAGAGUUUGCCCUAUGGACAGAUGAGGCAAAAGCAUUACUGCAGGGUUAAGUGCCACCAGUCUAUCAGUUACAGAGGUGAAAUUUGAAUAUAAUUGCUGAGGAAGAGGUGCAACCACAGCUCCUUCAAGUUAGUGGUGGCCCACUCCAAAAAGAUAUGGCGGGGAAAAAUG